GCGGGUAUAGCUCAGGGGUAGAGCACAUGCUUAGCAUGUACAAGGUCCCGGGUUCAAUCCCCAGUAUCUUCA
rnacentral:tRNA from 1 species